AGAGUUUGAUCCUGGCUCAGGAUGAACGCUGGCGGCGUGCUUAACACAUGCAAGUCGAACGGAGUUUAUGGAGCUUGCUCUGUAAACUUAGUGGCGGACGGGUGAGUAACGCGUGGGUAACCUGCCUUUCACAGGGGGAUAACAGUUAGAAAUGACUGCUAAUACCGCAUAAGCGCACAGGACGGCAUCGUCUCGUGUGAAAAACUCCGGUGGUGAAAGAUGGACCCGCGUCUGAUUAGCCAGUUGGCAGGGUAACGGCCUACCAAAGCGACGAUCAGUAGCCGGCCUGAGAGGGUGAACGGCCACAUUGGGACUGAGACACGGCCCAAACUCCUACGGGAGGCAGCAGUGGGGAAUAUUGCACAAUGGGGGGAACCCUGAUGCAGCGACGCCGCGUGAGUGAAGAAGUAUUUCGGUAUGUAAAGCUCUAUCAGCAGGGAAGAAAAUGACGGUACCUGACUAAGAAGCCCCGGCUAACUACGUGCCAGCAGCCGCGGUAAUACGUAGGGGGCAAGCGUUAUCCGGAUUUACUGGGUGUAAAGGGUGCGUAGAUGGUUUAGCAAGUCUGAAGUGAAAGCUCGGGGCUCAACUCCGGAACUGCUUUGGAAACUGUUGAACUAGAGUGCAGGAGGGGUAAGCGGAAUUCCUAGUGUAGCGGUGAAAUGCUUAGAUAUUAGGAGGAACACCGGCGGCGAAGGCGGCUUACUGGACUGUAACUGACAUUGAGGCACGAAAGCGUGGGGAGCAAACAGGAUUAGAUACCCUGGUAGUCCACGCCGUAAACGAUGAUCACUAGAUGUUGGGGGGCACAGCCCCUCGGUGUCGCAGCAAACGCAAUAAGUGAUCCACCUGGGGAGUACGUUCGCAAGAAUGAAACUCAAAGGAAUUGACGG
rnacentral:rRNA from 1 species